UUAGUGCCAAAGAAGCCUAUCCACUGAUUAAACCCCUGUUUAAUUUCCAUUGGUAUAUAGCAUGCCUUUAGAGUGUACAACUGCAAAAGGAAAGUCUUUCAACUUAAACCUACUACCCAUUGGUAGCACCCACACCUGUGCUUAUUUGUGUUCUCUGGAUGCAGCAGACAGGCUGUUUUUCUCAUAUUAUGCAAACCUGUAAGAGGCCAGGUCCCACACAGAAGUCAAGAACCGCAAAAGCUGAAUUAAUAUAUAUUGUGGUGGCAGGUGACAAGCAAAAUGGAAGAUUUGGAAGAAAUAGAGUCAUUGUCAGAUACCAUCUGGUUCAGAGAAGGUCCUCCAAAGAAAAGUUAACUGAAUGAAUGAAACAACAUGCAAGAACAGAAAAAAAUGAGGACGUUCGCUAUCACCAUAGUCAUCCUCCUCCCAUAUGUCCUGUCAUGGACACCACCACCUUGGGAAGAGGCCAUACUGUCCACUUGAAGAAAAGAACUGCUGCUAAAAACCGAUAUUCUAUCGGGCUUUGCAUUGAACACAGUGAGCAACAACUAUAAUCACCUUAAAGCAGGAACCAAUACAUCUGCCUCAACAUCUUUUCAGUGACUUCAGAGACAGUUAAAGCCUUUACUUCAGAUGUGCAUAUGAGACAAAUGUUCAAAGAACACCCUGACACCUGGGUCUCCUCAAAGUUGAACAAGCAUCUGGCCAGGACGCUCAACACAUUGGAAAAAGAAAACAGAAUGUUUCCUACCAUCUGAACUCCAAAAGAUUUCUGAAACAGAAUCAAUUGCUGAAGGAAGACAAGUGAUUCUAUCUAGACUGGCAUGAAAAAGAGAAAAGCAGUUAUCUAGGGCAUACACAUCACUAUACUCAGCUUAUCUGCAUUUGUUUGGGACCCAACCAUUUGUGUUUCCCAGCUCUACUGCAGUUAAGAGUAGCAUGACCCUGAGAUCCAGACAAUGGAAAAAAGGAGAAAGGUGUGACUCUUAAUCUGUGAAGAGUGCUUCCUAUCUGAGAGACAGUCUAAAACUUUGACGACUGAGAAAGUCCCAUCUCUGGGACUUGGGGAACCACAGUCCUUCUAAGUACCACUGCCUGCAGACUCACAGUGUGAAGCAUGAGCUCCUGGAGUCCCAUGGAAGGACCACAACCAUGACUCUUCUGUAAUACUAGGAAGAUGGAAGACCUGAGUUGAUGCAGGAAGGGCCAGGGGUCCUGACAACACAGGCAAAAGCCACUUUUGGAAAUCAAGUCUCAUCUGUAGACUUUGGGACCAAGAGUGCUGCUAUAAACUAAAACUGGCUCUUCUUCAAACUAGACAGAAUGAGAUGGCAAUAAGGUUCUUUUCAAAUACCAAGAUUGGUUCAAAGGAUUGCUUUGAAAUUAGAGACAUGGACAUGAGGGAGUGAUAUUUUGUUUUGUUUUUCUCGUUUUUUCCUCUGUGACUAGGUUAAAAAUGGAAAGUUGUUUUCAUUCUUCAAAACUCUUUAUGUGACAUGGUGGGGAUCCAUACUGUGAACUGAAAGACUAGGGACAGUGACAACCUCACAGCAGCAAGUACAGCUAGCACCCAUAUCUUGGUUUCUAAAUACCACCUUUUCAGUAAGAGAAAGCAAACCACUUGAAAAAAGAAUUAAUUUGCAGUGAAAUGAGCAUCUUUUAUGGGAAGCACUCAGUGAAAAAUGAUAAAAAUGGGAGUGUCCUAAAGAGAUCUAAGUGUGAGCCAAACUGAAAGAUCAAAGAUAGCCUAGCUAUCAUUGAGGAUAGCUACAACACUUAAAGCAAGAAAAUAAGUAGCACCAUAUUGUAUCAAAUGAAUCAAAUGAUGAAUAGAUAGGAAAGAAGAAAUAUUUUUUCUCUAGAACAAAAAAAAUACAGAACUUCCUGUUUAAACUCAAUAGUUCUGACAAUAAACGUGUAAAAAUUUUCUUCAUAGAAAAAACCCUCCAAUUCUCCUAAUACCUGCUGUGUGCUCACCAAUUCAAUACAAUUCUCACUUCAAACAUCUGGGGUUAGUGUAGACCCACAGGGAAAGGACUUAGUCCUACAAAAAUGACCUUCUCAUACCUCAAAAGACAACUACAAAUAUUAACUCUCAACAUUUCUGAUCACCCACCUACCAAGUCAGCAGCUCCUAUAACCCCCUUUCAGGUUUAGUCAUUGGCUAAAACAGGUCACAGGAUCCUGGAAGGCAUCUGACUUCUGGCUGUUUGUUACAAAGGACACAUCCAAAGACCAACUGAGUGAAAGAGAUACCUAGAGCAAGGCAUGACACAUGGAGUUCAGGGCCUCUGUGUUGGGUAUACUUCCCUCAUGACUAUAUUCUAUAUCCAUAAGUCUCAGAGCCCAUCAUCUUUCCUACAAGUCUAUGUAGGCACUGCUGAUUAAAUCAUUGGCAUUGGUAAUUGAAAACUGGAUCACCAGCCCGAGUCUUCCCUCCAGAGGAACUAUAAUGACAGUACCCUAAACUGGUGUCCAUCUAACCAUGGCUCUGGAGACCCUGAGCCACCUAACCAGCCUAAGUUCAGGCAUAGAUAGAAGGGACUUGCCAUCAACAAGUGAUGCUCCCAUCAGGAAAUUCCAAGCAAUUUAGAGAGUCAGUGUAUGUCUUUCUCACUAUUACACCUUCCCUUCAAAAGGCAGCACUUCAUCAUGACCUUGGAAGAGGUUGAACUGCUUUCAGAGAAUAAAGUAGUAUUCUAGAGAAAAGGAAAAGUGGUAUUUAAUCGUGAACAAACCUGGAAACCCAAGUGACAAAGAAUAGAGUGUGCCUUGUGAUUCCAUUUGCUUCUAAAUCCUAGAAGGACAUUUUUACUUAUCCAGUAUUGUUUCUUUUACCAGUUAAACCUAUUUUUAACUGGAUAAAAAGAUCAAAGUAAUCUGGGUAUGGUGGCACAUGACUAUAAUCUCAGCACUUGGAAGACAGGCAGAGGAUGACUGCAAGUCUGAGGUCAGCCUCAUCUACACACCGAGUUGCAGACAAGUGAGGACUAUGUAGCAAGACUCUGCUACCAAACAAAACUAAACACAAUAAAGUUAUACAUAACAAAGGAAGAACAUGAUGUUUAAAAACAUGUACAUAUCAUAUAAUGUUUAAGUGAGUUUCAGCAUAUCUGUCUUCUCAAAUAUUUAUCUUUUUAGAACAAAAGCCUUAAAUAUCCUUUUUGUGUAUAUAGUGUAAUAUUGCUAUAUAGAGUCAUGGUUCCAUGAAUAGCACAAGAACUUCUUACUCCAAUCAACUGUAAUUUAGCAUUCAUUAAUCAAAGUUUCCCAAGCCCACCCCCUAAGAGAAAAUCAGCAGACAAAGCCUUACUGGAGGACAUUCUACAGGCACCUGGUCAAUACUUCUCCAGACAGGCAAAGUCAUGAAAAAUGAGGAAUGGCAGAAACUUUCAUGGACCAAAUAGGACUAGAGAAUAAUCAAUGAACAUUCUGGGGCAUUUAUCACUCCUAAUCAGUCUAAUAAAAUUGUAUAAGAAAAAAUACAAUAUCCCUGAACUGUAUCUUGAAGAGACAGAGGACAUUAAUGGGAGGGGGAAAACAUAGAAUCCACACAGAUUAUAUUUAUGUAACAGAAGUAUGUCAAUUUGUGUUUCUCAGUGCUGACAGAUACAGCAAAAGCCAUGGUGGGACAGGAUUGUAAUAAUGGGAGAAAGGCUAUUCAAUCUCUGAUACUUUCCUAUAAAUUUAGAAUUAUCCUAUUUUUUUAAUUUCUUGAAAAAUAAAAUUCCAUUCAUUAUUUGCUCCUCUGGCUAUUUGUUUUUCUAUCAAACUGAAAAUAAAACAAGGGAUUUGGUGCUCAAAUUUCCCUCUCUAGUUGGCUGGGGUUUUUUUUCCCAUCAAACUGAAAAUAAAACAGAUUUGGUGCUCAACAUCCUCUCCCCAAUCCAAUGACUCCUCUCGUGGCUUUAGAUGCUAAGAAUAAGUAAAUCCAUGACAAAUAAUCUAUGCUUUCUAUUAAGAUAAAUUCUGUUCUCUGGCAAUAAUUAGACUUUAUUUCUUUGCAGAACCUAACAUGUAACAAUAGAGUUGCUACCAUUAUUUUAAAAUAAAGAUAAUCAUGAGAAUUGCAUAUAUGGGCUCUAAGUUUGUUUUUUUCUUUUCCUUUUGUAAUAAUAAAUUUUGCCAUCCAAACAUUGUCCUUUUGAUUGGCCUAUCCUAGUGAUAGGAAUCUUAAAUUUCUAAGAAAGCCUUUACUAAACCAAACAUAGUAAUCAAGACCUUCUAACAUAAACCACAUUAUGAUCAGUAUUUAAAAAAUUAUGAGUGCAACUGGACCUCUAUUGUACAAUGAACUGUUUCUCUCCUUUGAUUUCUUUUUACUGUUAUGGAAUUUGUUCAUAUUGUACAUCGUUCAAUAAACCUCAUUUUAUGAAGGUAAUUCCUUAUUAGGGAAGGAGAAAAUGUUGUAAUUAUGUUAUAAUCAUAAA